UUCUUAUUUCUUAGACCACAUGCCUGAUCUCAUCUGAAUUCAGAAGCUAGGCAGGGAUGGGCCUGAUUAGUACUUGAAUGGGAGACCACUUGUAUAUCUAAUGCUGAAU
rnacentral:rRNA from 1 species